CCUACGGGUGGCAGCAGUGGGGAAUAUUGGACAAUGGGCGAAAGCCUGAUCCAGCCAUGCCGCGUGUGUGAAGAAGGCCUUCGGGUUGUAAAGCACUUUCAGUGGGGAAGAAAGCCUUGGGGCUAAUACCCUCGAGGAAGGACAUCACCCACAGAAGAAGCACCGGCUAACUCCGUGCCAGCAGCCGCGGUAAUACGGAGGGUGCGAGCGUUAAUCGGAAUUACUGGGCGUAAAGCGCGCGUAGGCGGUCUGAUAAGCCGGUUGUGAAAGCCCCGGGCUCAACCUGGGAACGGCAUCCGGAACUGUCAGGCUAGAGUGCAGGAGAGGAAGGUAGAAUUCCCGGUGUAGCGGUGAAAUGCGUAGAGAUCGGGAGGAAUACCAGUGGCGAAGGCGGCCUUCUGGACUGACACCGACGCUGAGGUGCGAAAGCGUGGGUAGCAAACAGGAUUAGAUACCCUGGUAGUC
rnacentral:rRNA from 1 species